UUACCCUGACCAUUGGUAAGAGAAGCAAAGGCCAAGGGUGACGACCCUUAGGUCUGCGGAUCGAACCCUGUCAGGGUAG
rnacentral:pre_miRNA from 1 species